GCGGGUGUGGCGGAAUUGGCAGACGCACUAGAUUUAGGAUCUAGCGUCGAGAGACGUGGGGGUUCAAGUCCCUUCACCCGCACCA
rnacentral:tRNA from 5 species